rnacentral:rRNA from 1 species
UACGGGGGGGGCAAGCGUUGUUCGGAAUUACUGGGCGUAAGGGGCUCGUAGGUGGUCAACUAAGUCGGACGUGAAAUCCCUCGGCUUAACCGGGGAACUGCGUCCGAUACUGGAUGACUUGAGUUCGGGAGAGGGAUGCGGAAUUCCAGGUGUAGCGGUGAAAUGCGCAGAUAUCAGGAGGAACACCAGCGGCGAAGGCGGCGCUCUGGGCCGGUACUGACACUGAGGAGCGAAAGCGUGGGGAUCAAACAGG